AGUCGAACGGAGCAUUGAGAGCUUGCUUUUAAUGCUUAGUGGCGAACGGGUGAGUAACGCGUGAGUAACCUGCCCUGGAGUGGGGGACAACAGUUGGAAACGACUGCUAAUACCGCAUAAGCCCACGGCCCGGCAUCGGGCUGAGGGAAAAGGAUUUAUUCGCUUCAGGAUGGACUCGCGUCCAAUUAGCUAGUUGGUGAGGUAACGGCCCACCAAGGCGACGAUUGGUAGCCGGACUGAGAGGUUGAACGGCCACAUUGGGACUGAGACACGGCCCAGACUCCUACGGGAGGCAGCAGUGGGGGAUAUUGCACAAUGGGGGAAACCCUGAUGCAGCGACGCCGCGUGGAGGAAGAAGGUUUUCGGAUUGUAAACUCCUGUCGUUAGGGACGAUAAUGACGGUACCUAACAAGAAAGCACCGGCUAACUACGUGCCAGCAGCCGCGGUAAAACGUAGGGUGCAAGCGUUGUCCGGAAUUACUGGGUGUAAAGGGAGCGCAGGCGGACCGGCAAGUUGGAAGUGAAAACUAUGGGCUUAACCCAUAAAUUGCUUUCAAAACUGCUGGCCUUGAGUAGUGCAGAGGUAGGUGGAAUUCCCGGUGUAGCGGUGGAAUGCGUAGAUAUCGGGAGGAACACCAGUGGCGAAGGCGACCUACUGGGCACCAACUGAUGCUGAGGCUCGAAAGCAUGGGUAGCAAACAGGAUUAGAUACCCUGGUAGUCCAUGCCGUAAACGAUGAUUACUAGGUGUUGGAGGAUUGACCCCUUCAGUGCCGCAGUUAACAC
rnacentral:rRNA from 1 species